rnacentral:rRNA from 1 species
GACGAACGCUGGCGGCGUGCUUAACACAUGCAAGUCGAACGGAAAGGCCCUGCUUUUGUGGGGUGCUCGAGUGGCGAACGGGUGAGUAACACGUGAGUAACCUGCCCUUGACUUUGGGAUAACUUCAGGAAACUGGGGCUAAUACCGGAUAGGAGCUCCUGCUGCAUGGUGGGGGUUGGAAAGUUUCGGCGGUUGGGGAUGGACUCGCGGCUUAUCAGCUUGUUGGUGGGGUAGUGGCUUACCAAGGCUUUGACGGGUAGCCGGCCUGAGAGGGUGACCGGCCACAUGGGGACUGAGAUACGGCCGAGACUCCUAGGGGAGGCAGCAGUGGGGAAUAUUGCACAAGGGGCGGAAGCCUGAUGCAGCAACGCCGCGUGCGGGAUGACGGCCUUCGGGUUGUAAACCGCCUUCGCCUGUGACGAAGCGUGAGUGACGGUAAUGGGUAAAGAAGCACCGGCUAACUACG